GGGAAAAGGUUUUGAUGAAAAAACGAUAUCUGCUUGUAAAUUCUCUUUUCAUUAUUUUGCGUUUUGUUUUGGUAUAUUUUCCCCUUCUUGAUUUACCUUGGGAACAUUGCAAGGUCAACUUAAAACUCCAGUGUCUCGUGUUUUUGUAAUACAACUUUGUCUUAUGAUUUAUUAAACAUAAAACAAUAGAACAAAGCGAUGUAAAAAUAGCCUUAUAAUAAACAAAAAACUGGUUUGGCUACAUACACACUGGUAAAAUAGUAUUAAAAAUAUUAAAAACAGGAAAAUUCUUAGUUAAAAAAAAAUUUUUGAAAGACCAUUUUUUCCUCUAUUUCGGCCGACAAUUGCAAAGAUUGAUGUGCUCAACAAUAUCGGCUUCUUCAGUAAGAGCUUGACCGUGAAACGUCCAUGUUUCCCAUCAACCGAAAGUUGUACUACGUUACAUUUUGGCUGGGAGAUUGUUGUUAUAAACUGAACGAACGAAGUUUUAACACACAAAUGAAUGAUUGACAAUGUCAACCAAUUUGUAUCCAGUAACAGAAUUCACAAUAGCAAUAUGUACUACCUUAUUAGCCUUAUUUGAUAGUGUUUUCAUUUAUCGUCAUUCUUAGCUAUAUUUUUUAUCUGGUCUGUAAAAUGUACUUUUAAAGGAUCACGUGACAAGUAGGUAAUAUAUAUUAUUUGAUUUUGAGAAUUAUGAUCAUAUUUAAAUAUGAUCAUAAUAAAUAGUAAUGUAAUUUGACGCAAGAGCAAUAGGCUUUUGUAAAAAUAUACGACUUUAUCAUGUA